rnacentral:rRNA from 1 species
AGUGCCAGGUUACAAAUCUGGCUGUCCAGAGCCUAAAAAGCAUUUCAUUAGCAAGGGCCGGGCAAGACCGGUGCCAGCCGCCGCGGUAACACCGGCGGCCCGAGUGGUAACCGUGAUUAUUGGGUCUAAAGGGUCUGUAGCCGGUUUGGUCAGUCUUCCGGGAAAUCCUGACGGCUCAACCGUUAGGCUUCCAGAGGAUACUGCCAGAUCUGACUAG